rnacentral:rRNA from 1 species
CCUACGGGGGGCUGCAGUGAGGAAUAUUGGUCAAUGGCCGGAAGGCUGAACCAGCCAUGCCGCGUGAAGGUCAGUGCCCUAUGGGCGUUAAACUUCUUUUGUGCGGGAGCAAUAAUGGUCACGUUUGGCCCGACGAGAGUACCGUACGAAUAAGCAUCGGCUAACUCCGUGCCAGCAGCCGCGGUAAGACGGGGGAUGCAAGCGUUAUCCGGAUUUAUUGGGUUUAAAGGGUGCGUAGGCUGUGAGGUAAGUCAGCGGUGAAAUGCCCCGGCUCAACGGGGUGAAGUGCCAUUGAUACUGCCGUGCUGGAAUGCGGAUGCCGUGGGAGGAAUGUGUGGUGUAGCGGUGAAAUGCAUAGAUAUCACACAGAACACCGAUUGCGAAGGCAGCUCACGGAUCCGCGAUUGACGCUGAUGCACGAAAGCGUGGGUAUCAAACAGGAUUAGAUACCCGGGUAGUC